AAGAAAGCAGAGCUGGCAAGCAAAAGAGACGCUGACAAUAAAGGAUGAGAAUGAAUCGAAAUUUGAAGGAAGCCUAUGAGUUUAGACAGAAAUUUACCCGAUUGCUGCACUGCACGGAGGAGAGAGAGAGAGCGCUUCUUCUUCUUCUUCUUCUUUUAUUUUUUCGUCUCUUUUUAACUCAAGUGAUGAGUAGGUCUUGCUAUUAAACAGACCGAAUUAAAAAGGAAAGAAAAACAAGAGGUAUCGUCCUCUGUCGACGAAGAAGAAGAAAAACGAAGAAGAUGACUUGAACUUCCGUGGGUUUAUGUUGGGCGAUUCGAUUCCGUACAGCUUUAGAAGGUUUUGGAGUUGAUUGAAGAUGUUAGAACAAUUACUGAUAUUUACUAGAGGAGGAUUAAUCCUCUGGACCUGUAGAGAGCUUGGAAAUGCUCUUAAAGGAUCGCCGAUCGAUACCUUGAUCCGGUCCUGUCUUUUGGAGGAACGAUCUGGUGCAGCAUCGUUUGAUUAUACGGCUUCGGGGUCAGCUUACACGCUCAAAUGGACCUUCCAUAAUGAGCUUGGCCUCGUGUUUGUUGUUGUAUACCAGAAGAUCCUCCAUCUCCUGUAUGUGGAUGAUCUGCUUGUGAUGGUGAAGCAGACUUUCUCGGAGAUUUAUGAUCCAAAAAGGACAGUGUAUAAUGAUUUUGAUGAAACUUUCCGACAACUUAGGAAGGAGGCUGAGGCUCGCACUGAGGAAUUGAAGAAGUCCAAGCAGGUGGGUAAGCCUGUGAGUAAUAGUAGGAAGCAAGGGCCGGUGCAGAAGGCUGGAAUUGGAGGAGACAAGAAAAAUAAUGAAGGCGGUUUGGCUAGUGAUGGUGUGGAUGACAAUGCUUUGCAAGGCCGUAAAUUGGAGAAUGGAAUCUCCAAUGGUAAUCAUGUUGUUAGUAAAGAGCCUAAUGUAGUUAGUACUGCUAACAGAAAAGAGAACACUAGUUCCAAUCUCGGGGCUUUUGAUGUAAAUAAGCUUAAGUCUAGAUCAAAGGUUGGAAAGAAAACUGAAAAAUCUGCUACCCUUGAUAGCAAGGGCUCGAAGGCUGAACCAAAAAAGAAGAUAACCAAGAAAAAUAGAGUUUGGGAUGAUUCUCCUCAAGAGUCAUGUGAGUCCAAAUUGGAUUUUACAGAUACUGUGGGUGAGAAUGCAGAUAACAAUAUUGAGGUUGUAGCAGCAGAUCACGGUGAAAGUAUGAUGGAUAGGGAAGAGGAUUACAGUAGUGAAAGUGAGGCUGAAGAGGAAGAGGAAGUUGGAAAGGAAAGCAAGCCUGAUCCAAAAAAGAAAGGAUGGUUUUCAUCUAUGUUCCAGAGUAUUGCAGGCAAGGCAAAUUUGGAGAGGUCGGAUCUGGAACCAGCUUUGAAAGCUCUCAAGGAUAGGCUGAUGACCAAGAAUGUGGCUGAGGAGAUAGCUGAGAAGCUCUGUGAAUCAGUGGCAGCUAGUCUCGAGGGUAAAAAGUUGGGUUCAUUUACAAGAGUAUCUUCUACAGUCCAGGCUGCAAUGGAAGAAGUUCUUGUUCGUAUUUUAACUCCUAGGCGCUCUAUUGAUAUACUGAGGGAUGUGCAUGCUGCCAAGGAGCAGAGGAAGCCUUAUGUAGUUGUUUUUGUUUUCAUCCGAAUGGUUAUUGACAAAUUUCUCUUCCCAGGUUGCCUAUUGGCUCCAGCAGCAUCAGGUUAGUGUUAUGAUGGCUGCCUGUGAUACAUUCCGAUCAGGGGCUGUCGAGCAGCUGCGUACUCAUGCACGUAGACUCCUGAUCCCUAUUUUUGAGAAGGGAUAUGAGAAAGAUCCUGCUGUUGUCGCAAAGGAAGCAAUCCAGGAAGCCAAACUCAAUGGUUCUGAUGUGGUUCUAGUUGACACAGCUGGUCGAAUGCAGAAUAAUGAACCAUUAAUGAGGGCACUAUCAAAGCUUAUCUACAUUAACAAUCCAGAUCUUGUCUUGUUUGUUGGAGAGGCACUGGUUGGGAAUGAUGCUGUUGAUCAGCUUUCCAAGUUUAAUCAGAAACUGGCUGAUCUCUCACCUUCGCCCAACCCCAGAUUGAUAGAUGGAAUAUUGCUCACCAAGUUUGAUACUAUUGAUGAUAAGGUUGGAGCUGCACUGUCGAUGGUUUAUAUAUCUGGAGCCCCAGUCAUGUUUGUUGGGUGUGGGCAGUCCUACACAGACUUGAAAAAGCUGAAUGUGAAGUCGAUUGUCAAGACUGUCCUGAAAUGAGAGAUUUGCAGCAGCUACCUGCUUAAGUUCAUUGGUCAUGUCUUGAAUAUCAUGACACUGUUAUGAAACCGUGUUUGCAGCUCUUCCAUUGACCUGUAUUGCCUCAGUUGACUUGUGUCCUUAAAAACUAGGUGAAUCAAUCAUUUAACUGUCUUCCAAAGAUUUGUUGUAUAAUUUGUUCUCUCUAUGCAACACUCUUACAACUCAUAAUUUCCUAUGUAAAUCAAUAUAGGCCAGUGAACCACAAGUUUCCUAUUCUGUUUGGAAGAGAGAAUAAACCCUGGUAAU